rnacentral:rRNA from 1 species
UGAGGAAUAUUGGUCAAUGGGGGCAACCCUGAACCAGCCAAGUCGCGUGAAGGAUGAAGGUCUUAUGGAUUGUAAACUUCUUUUACACGGGAAUAAAGUGGGGGACGUGUCCCCCUUUGCAUGUACCGUGUGAAUAAGGAUCGGCUAACUCCGUGCCAGCAGCCGCGGUAAUACGGAGGAUCCGAGCGUUAUCCGGAUUUAUUGGGUUUAAAGGGUGCGCAGGCGGGAUGUUAAGUCGGCGGUGAAAUUUUGCAGCUCAACUGUAAAAGUGCCUUCGAUACUGGCCUCCUUGAGUGUGGAUGAAGUAGGCGGAAUUUGUGGUGUAGCGGUGAAAUGCUUAGAUAUCACGAGGAACUCCGAUUGCGCAGGCAGCUUACUAAGCCACAACUGACGCUCAUGCACGAAGGCGUGGGGAUCAAA